UAAAGGGUAGCAUAAUUGGUAGUGUGUUGGUCUCCUAACCAAAUAAUAGAGGUUCGAAUCCUCUGCUUUCUG